UACGUAGGUGGCAAGCGUUAUCCGGAUUUACUGGGCGUAAAGAGCGCGCAGGCGGUCGUUCAAGUCGCGUGUGAAAGCCCCCGGCUCAACUGGGGAGGGUCACGCGAUACUGAUCGACUCGAAGGCAGGAGAGGGAAGUGGAAUUCCCGGUGUAGUGGUGAAAUGCGUAGAUAUCGGGAGGAACACCAGUGGCGAAGGCGACUUCCUGGCCUGUUCUUGACGCUGAGGCGCGAAAGCUAGGGGAGCAAACGGG
rnacentral:rRNA from 1 species